AGGAUUUAUUUAUACCUGUGGUGGAACUUUAAAAGGACUUAAUGGCACUAUAGAAAGCCCUGGCUUCCCAUAUGGAUAUCCAAAUGGUGCAAACUGUACAUGGGUUAUAAUAGCAGAAGAAAGAAACAGAAUACAGAUCGUCUUUCAGUCUUUUGCUCUAGAAGAAGAAUAUGAUUAUUUGUCAUUAUAUGAUGGGCAUCCUCAUCCUGCAAACUUUAGGACAAGGUUAACAGGAUUUCAUCUUCCUCCACCUGUGACAAGUACAAAAUCUGUAUUUUCACUGCGCUUGACAAGUGACUUUGCAGUUAGUGCUCAUGGGUUUAAAGUUUACUAUGAAGAAUUACAGAGUAGUUCCUGUGGCAAUCCAGGAGUUCCACCAAAGGGUAUCUUGUAUGGUACAAGAUUUGACGUUGGUGACAAAAUCCGAUACAGCUGUGUAACUGGAUAUAUUUUGGAUGGACACCCCCAGCUUACUUGCAUAGCUAACUCUGUGACUACAGCAUCAUGGGACUUCCCUGUUCCUAUCUGUAGAG